UACGUAGGGGGCAAGCGUUGUCCGGAAUUAUUGGGCGUAAAGCGCGUGUAGGCGGCCAGAUAAGUCCGCUGUGAAAUCUCGAGGCUCAACUUCGAGCUGUCGGUUGAAACUGUCUGGCUAGAGUCCGGAAGAGGAGAAUGGAAUUCCUGGUGUAGCGGUGAAAUGCGCAGAUAUCAGGAAGAACACCCGUGGCGAAGGCGGUUCUCUGGGACGGUACUGACGCUGAGACGCGAAAGCGUGGGGAGCGAACAGG
rnacentral:rRNA from 1 species